GACGAACGCUGGCGGCGUGCUUAACACAUGCAAGUCGAGCGGUAAGGCCCUUUCGGGGGUACACGAGCGGCGAACGGGUGAGUAACACGUGGGUGACCUGCCCUCAGCUCUGGGAUAAGCCCGGGAAACUGGGUCUAAUACCGGAUAUGACUCCACGGUGCAUGUCGUGGGGUGGAAAGCCUUGUGCGGCUGAGGAUGGGCCCGCGGCCUAUCAGCUUGUUGGUGGGGUGAUGGCCUACCAAGGCGACGACGGGUAGCCGGCCUGAGAGGGCGACCGGCCACACUGGGACUGAGACACGGCCCAGACUCCUACGGGAGGCAGCAGUGGGGAAUAUUGCACAAUGGGCGCAAGCCUGAUGCAGCAACGCCGCGUGCGGGAUGACGGCC
rnacentral:rRNA from 1 species